UAAGAAGAAUUGGUGUUGGAAGGUGGUGUUGGAAGGUGGUGCUAUUUUAUAGGCCGUAACUUCCCCCGCGGGCAAAUGCAAUAAAUACAGCAGAAGGCAGUCGACACCGUUCUCAACCGACAACCAGUCAACCUUCACUCCUUCUCCCUCCUCUCGUGGCUCCGAGGCCAAGGCACCGCGGAAGCAAGCGGCUCAAGCAAUGCACAAGGUCGGACAUUCCGGACGAAUCAACGCCGACCGCGAAACACUCUUCGUCACCUGGGCAACAAACCUCUCCAGUUGUUCGUCAAGGAAAAUGCCUACAUGCCUCAGUAUCUUCAAGACUUUCGAUCCCUCGUGCGAUUCAAGCACCAAAACGUCUUGACAAAAUUGCUUGUGCAAGAAUCGCACGAUUCUUCCCUAAGUCGCAAGUCUUGCGAUUCAGAUCCGAUUCGUGCGAUUGUCACUGCGAUUCAAGCACCAAAUUGUCUUCACAAAGCUGCUUAAUAAAGAAUCAUACGAUUUUUCUCUAAGUCGCGAUUCUUGCGAUUCAGAUCCGAUUCAUUCUCUUUGGGGUUUAUUAUUGUAUACACCCGGAUGCUGUCUGUUCUCAUAUCAUUAUAUAAUUUGUUAGAGGGUUUUUUGUUUGAACAUCUUUAUUCGUUAGAACUUGUAGUCUUGAUAUGCAUACCAAUAUUGUCUUUCCUUGUUUGUGGUUAUUUUUUCCAUCCUUUUCCAAGUGUUGAUGUUAUUGGUUAAUCAAGGGUUCUAUUACAAGAAUAAAGCAAUGUGUCUCAUUUUUGCAGAACACUAGCAGGCCAGUCUCUAAAACCAUAGCAAACCAGAAUUUGGGCCUUCUAUUUAUCUGUGUUAACAACUAUAAAUCCUAAAGAUGUUUCCAUUAUUGCAAGUAUAGGCGGGAUGAAUAUGAGGCAGGAUCACCCACCUUUGUGUGGAAGAGACCACAUUGAUUUUGAUACCAUGGCAGUUAUAGACAAGUUUGGGAAUAUCUAUUUUGUGUGGUUGCCAUAAUCUGGAGAUGCAUAUGAGGCAGGAUCACCCACCUUUGUGUGGAAGAGACCACAUGGCCUAUAGAUCUGGUUAUUUUCAUGAUAAGAUUGAUUCAACCACUGCAAAAGCUUGCAGAAAGUCGCGGUAUUGCUUUAUUUGCAAUUGACGAGGUACAUUGUGUUUCUAAAUGGGGUCAUGAUUUCCGUCCAGAUUACAGCUGACCGUAUGUGCUGCGGGAAAAUUUCAGUGCUAGAAAGCUAAAAUCCCUAAAAUUUGAUAUACCUCUGAUGGCCUUGACAGCUACGGCUACAAAAGGAGUUCAAUAAGUCAUUUGAAAAUCACUAUGCAUGUCAAAAGAAACGAAUGUUUUUCUUACAUCAUUUUUUCAAUCUAAUUUACGCUUCUUGGUAAAGGAUAGUCGAACAUCAAAGGCUUCUUAUGCAAAAGACUUUUGUGAAUUGAUUGAAGUAUAUGGUAGAAAGCAAAAUAUUGAUGGAAAUGAAACGGCUUUCAUGUCAAAUGAUUCAGAUUGUGUUUCUCAUGGCUCCGAUGCUUGUAGUAGCUCUGAUACAGACAAUGUUUCUCAUGAUGACGUGGAUGACAACCGAGAUUAAUAUGCUUACAAAGAUGAUUUUUUAAUGGGACGAGAAUUGUCGGUUGAGUUCCUGGAAAAUGAUAUGGAUGUUGUUCAAAAUUUACCCAUGGUGAAAAGCCUCCUCACAUGGGAUUGGAAUUACCUGAGGCAAUUGAUCCACCUAAGAAACCAGAAGGAAGACUUAAAUUUCUUAAAGAGCCUUUGGAACACAGACCAGCUAUCAUAUAUGUAUCCACCAGAAAAGAAACUUUGAGAAUUGCGAAGUAUCUAUGCAAGUUUGGUGUGAAGUCUGCUGCUUAUAAUGCAGGGCUUCCCAAAUUGAAUCUAAGAAGGGUUCAUAAAGGGUUUCAUGAAAAUACUUUAGAGGUAUGCUUCUGGGGCCUGAACUAAAUAUUGUGGAUGUUCCACGGGAGAGGGGUUCAAAGAGGGGCUAAAGUUUUUUAUUUGAAUUGAGAUGUCCAGUUAUCAGAUAUGUAUGAUAUCAUUGCAUCUUCUUAUACAUGUGGUGUGCUAUUCACAUAAUUACUAUAUAAAUGAAUGGACUUUUUAUCUGAUUUUGAUGA